rnacentral:ncRNA from 2 species
ACACGACUCUGGAGAGUCCCAUUUGGGCGCCGAAGGUGCAAGGAUAUUGUUUCUAAUCUCUCAGGCAAAAGGACAGAGCU